CGAACGGCCCUUCUUAGGGCCACAAUCUAAUUUUUCGUUGAAACAU
rfam:Cerapachys biroi unplaced genomic scaffold scaffold65, whole genome shotgun sequence.